AACGAACGCUGGCGGCAGGCUUAACACAUGCAAGUCGAACGCCCCGCAAGGGGAGUGACAGACGGGUGAGUAACGCGUGGGAAUCUACCUAGUUCUACGGAACAACAGUUGGAAACGACUGCUAAUACCGUAUACGCCCUAUGGGGGAAAGAUUUAUCGGAAUUAGAUGAGCCCGCGUAAGAUUAGCUAGUUGGUGGGGUAAUGGCCUACCAAGGCGACGAUCUUUAGCUGGUCUGAGAGGAUGAUCAGCCACACUGGGACUGAGACACGGCCCAGACUCCUACGGGAGGCAGCAGUGGGGAAUAUUGGACAAUGGGCGCAAGCCUGAUCCAGCCAUGCCGCGUGAGUGAUGAAGGCCUUAGGGUUGUAAAGCUCUUUCAGUGGGGAAGAUAAUGACGGUACCCACAGAAGAAGCCCCGGCUAACUUCGUGCCAGCAGCCGCGGUAAUACGAAGGGGCUAGCGUUGUUCGGAUUUACUGGGCGUAAAGCGCACGUAGGCGGUUUUGGUUAAGUCAGAGGUGAAAAUUCCCCGGGAGCUCAACUCCGGAACUGCCUUGAUACUGGCAAGCUAGAGUCCGGAAGAGGUAAGUGGAACUCCUAGUGUAGAGGUGGAAUUCGUAGAUAUUAGGAAGAACACCAGUGGCGAAGGCGG
rnacentral:rRNA from 1 species